rnacentral:rRNA from 1 species
CCGCGGUAUCCUAACCGUGCGAAGGUAGCGCAAUCAAUUGCCCUAUAAAUGAGGGCCUGUAUGAAUGGUAUGACGAGGGUUUAACUGUCUCUUUUUUCCAGUCAGUGAAACUGAUCUGUCCGUGCAGAAGCGGACAUUUUUAUACAAGACGAGAAGACCCUAUGGAGCUUUAGGCACUAACCAACUAUCGGAAGCAAUUUUACAAGUAAAUUCCACUUUAGAUUUUCUGGUAAUGUAGUCUUAGGUUGGGGCGACCACGGGAGAAAAAGAAGCUCCCAAGUAGACAGGGAAUAACCCUGAAACCAAGAGCUACGGCUCUAAGUCGCAAAAUAUUUGACUAAUAUGAUCCGGCCGAUGGCCGAUUAACGAACCAAGUUACCCUAGGGAUAACAGCGCAAUCCUCUCCCAGAGUCCUCAUCGACGAGAGGGUUUACGACCUCGAUGUUGGAUCAGGACAUCCUAAUGGUGCAGCCGCUAUUAAGGGUUCGUUUGUUCAACGAUUAAAGUCCUACAUGAUCUGGUUUCAAAACACAGGGAGA